GACGAACGCUGGCGGCGUGCUUAACACAUGCAAGUCGAACGGUAAGGCCCUUCGGGGUACACGAGUGGCGAACGGGUGAGUAACACGUGGGUGAUCUGCCCUGCACUUCGGGAUAAGCCUGGGAAACUGGGUCUAAUACCGGAUAGGACUCCGGACUGCAUGGUCUGGGGUGGAACGCUUUUGCGGUGUGGGAUGGGCCCGCGGCCUAUCAGCUUGGUGGUGGGGUGAUGGCCUAUCAAGGCGACGACGGGUAGCCGGCCUGAGAGGGUGACCGGCCACACGGGGACUGAGAUACGGCCCAGACUCCUACGGGAGGCAGCAGUGGGGAAUAUUGCACAAUGGGCGCAAGCCUGAUGCAGCGACGCCGCGUGAGGGAUGACGGCCUUCGGGUUGUAAACCUCUUUCAGCAUCGACGAAGCGAAAGUGACGGUAGGUGCAGAAGAAGGACCGGCCAACUACGUGCCAGCCGCCGCGGUAA
rnacentral:rRNA from 1 species